AGGGGCGUCGUUGCGGUGGAAAAGUGGUCGGAUCCCAUCAGAACUCCAAAGUUAAGCGUGCUUGGGCGAGAGUAGUACUAGGAUGGGUGACCUCCUGGGAAGUCCUCGUGUUGCAUUCC
rnacentral:rRNA from 1 species